rnacentral:lncRNA from 1 species
UGGUGCAUAAAUCUCUAGCAGGGACAUCAGAAGCCCAUAACGUGCUCCUUUUCUCUCUUUACGUUAGUCAAAAUGCUCAUAUUUUUUGGAUGAAUGAAGAAUCAAAAGAAUGGAACUUGACUGAGAAAAAAGGAUGGCAAAACUCUGCUUUACUUUUUAUAUUUCUUUGUGCGCCUCGCUCACAGAAAUUUAAACCACCAUCAAAGCUUUCUCACAUUAUCACAAGGCUUCUUUCGGUUGGUCACCGGUGGUCUCAGCUUAGGCC